UACGGAGGGGGCGAGCGUUAUUCGGAAUUAUUGGGCGUAAAGGGCGCGUAGGCGGCCCUGCAAGUCAAAGGUGAAAUCCCUCGGCUCAACUGAGGAACUGCCUUUGAAACUGCAGGGCUUGAGUCCGGGAGGGGGUAGCGGAAUUCCCAGUGUAGCGGUGAAAUGCGUAGAUAUUGGGAGGAACACCAGUGGCGAAGGCGGCUACCUGGACCGGAACUGACGCUGAUGCGCGAAAGCGUGGGGAGCGAACAGG
rnacentral:rRNA from 1 species